UCGGCAGAGAAUGAACAUGUACAUGCUGGCCAACCCAACCCCACGAUCCUCCAUCGGCAUGAUCAUGAUGUGUUCUCAAAUAUCAGGCCAGUAAAUCACCAUGCUCGUGCUGGUAAAGGCUGGAGGGCUUGGGUUGGCCCACAUUGACAUGUUCACCUUGUGCUUGU
rfam:Brachypodium distachyon strain Bd21 chromosome 1, whole genome shotgun sequence.